rnacentral:rRNA from 1 species
ACUGUCUCAACAACAGACUCGGUGAAAUUGUAAUUCCGGUGAAGAUGCCGGAUACCUGCGACAGGACGGAAAGACCCCAUGGAGCUUUACUGUAGCUUGACAUUGGGUCUUGGUACUACAUGUACAGGAUAGGUGGGAGGCUUUGAAACCAGGACGCCAGUUUUGGCGGAGCCAUCCUUGGGAUACCACCCUUGUAGUACUGGGACUCUAACCAUAGGCCAUGAAUCUGGUCUUGGGACACUGUCAGGUGGGCAGUUUGACUGGGGCGGUCGCCUCCCCAAAGGUAACGGAGGCGCUCAAAGGUUCUCUCAGUACGGUCGGAAAUCGUACGUAGAGGGUAAAGGCAAAAGAGAGCUUGAUUGCAAGACAUAACGGUCGAGCAAGGAUGAAAAUCGGACUUAGUGAUCCGGUGGUUCUGCGUGGAAGGGCCAUCGCUCAACGGAUAAAAGCUACCCUGGGGAUAACAGGCUUAUCUCCCCCAAGAGUCCACAUCGACGGGGAGGUUUGGCACCUCGAUGUCGGCUCAUCACAUCCUGGGGCUGUAGUAGGUCCCAAGGGUUGGGCUGUUCGCCCAUUAAAGUGGUACGCGAGCUGGGUUCAGAACGUCGUGAGACAGUUCGGUCCCUAUCCGUCGCAGGCGUAGGAAAUUUGAGAAGACCUGUCCUUAGUACGAGAGGACCGGGAUGGACGUACCUCUGGUGUACUAGUUGU